rnacentral:rRNA from 1 species
UGGGGAAUAUUGCACAAUGGGGGGAACCCUGAUGCAGCGACGCCGCGUGAGUGAAGAAGCGCCUCGGCGCGUAAAGCUCUGUCAGCAGGGAAGAAGAUGACGGUACCUGACCAAGAAGCCCCGGCUAACUACGUGCC